rnacentral:sRNA from 1 species
AGCGUCCUCCCUCCCCGCGGCGCCAGAAGCCAGUUGCAACCGGUUUCUGAAGUCUGAAGGGGCGUCUCGAUUACCUGAGCUCUCUGAAGGUGAAGGGCCUUGUGCUGGGCCCAAUUCACAAGAACCAGAAGGAUGAUGUCGCUCAGACCGACUUGCUGCAGAUCGACCCCAAUUUUGGCUCCAAGGAAGAUUUUGACAGUCUCUUGCAAUCGGCUAAAAAAAAGAGCAUCCGUGUCAUUCUGGACCUUACUCCCAACUACCGGGGUGAGAACUCGUGGUUCUCCACUCAGGUUGACACUGUGGCCACCAAGGUGAAGGAUGCUCUGGAGUUUUGGCUGCAAGCUGGCGUGGAUGGGUUCCAGGUUCGGGACAUAGAGAAUCUGAAGGAUGCAUCCUCAUUCUUGGCUGAGUGGCAAAACAUCACCAAGGGCUUCAGUGAAGACAGGCUCUUGAUUGCAGGGACUAACUCCUCCGACCUUCAGCAGAUCCUGAGCCUACUCGAAUCCAACAAAGACUUGCUGUUGACUAGCUCAUACCUGUCUGAUUCUGGUUCUACUGGGGAGCAUACAAAAUCCCUAGUCAC